AACGAACGCUGGCGGCAUGCCUAACACAUGCAAGUCGAACGAGACCUUCGGGUCUAGUGGCGCACGGGUGCGUAACACGUGGGAAUCAGCCCUUUGCUUCGGAAUAACAGUUAGAAAUGACUGCUAAUAUCGGAUGAUGUCGAAAGACCAAAGAUUUAUCGGCAAAGGAUGAGCCCGCGUAGGAUUAGGUAGUUGGUGGGGUAAAGGCCUACCAAGCCGACGAUCCUUAGCUGGUCUGAGAGGAUGAUCAGCCACACUGGGACUGAGACACGGCCCAGACUCCUACGGGAGGCAGCAGUGGGGAAUAUUGGACAAUGGGCGAAAGCCUGAUCCAGCAAUGCCGCGUGAGUGAUGAAGGCCUUAGGGUUGUAAAGCUCUUUUACCAGGGAUGAUAAUGACAGUACCUGGAGAAUAAGCUCCGGCUAACUCCGUGCCAGCCGCCGCUGUAACAC
rnacentral:rRNA from 1 species